UGUUUUUUUUUUUUGUUUUUUUUUUAAGACCCUGACCCUUCCUCUGGGAUACUCUUCGCCUUGGAGUAGGACCCUGAGAAGGGAGAACCGGAUGAGUUCGUGGGUGUGACCCGGGGUGAGGCGUUUGGGGAUGAGCAGUACGGGAUCUUCCGCCUUCUGGGACUCUCCUCCCUAGUGUGUUCGUGUUUGUGUCUGCAGGUUUGAGCACUUGAUAGAUUCUGAGGAGGGAUAUGUUAACUAAUCCAUAAAAAUCAGCCCAGAGUCUAAUUCCUUUUGGCGUUGUCUGUGGCUGCCUACUGGCAGGGGGCCUCAGAUUUAAAAAAAAAAAAAAAAAAAAAAAAAAGUUCUUGUGCUCUAAAACACGUCCUUCACACAAUUAGAAAGUCCUCAUUUUGGUCCAACAGCUACUUAAAACCUCAGGCCAACAUGUAAACUUCUUUAACAUGAAAAUGCACAAAAGCAAAGGUAUUUUUCACAAAGGAGACUAGAGGUGUGCAUGAUUUAGCACUUUAGUACACUUUAGUGUACAUGUACACAUUAGUAUACAUUUCCCCAAAUGAUUGCAUAAUUUCUCAUAUCUCAAGCUAUGUUUUCAUGUUUUACAUUGCUUUUGUUGUUGUUGUUAAAUAGGGCUGUUUUCUUGGGGAUGGGGGAUGAUUAGAACAUCAAAGUGGGCAAUUUGGGUAGCCAGUAAGCCAAAUUAAAGAAGGGAAGAUGAAAAAUCUACUAGAGAAAUGUUACCCAAAGCUAUCUUCGGAGAGAGAAUCGCACUGAAGAAGAGACACAUCACUUCCCUGGUUCCCUGUAGAGUCAUGCCAGGGCCUGGAAGGAAGAGAACACGACUGGGAAUCAAUUAGAAAGAAAAGUUGCUGUCUUUGGAGCCAGGGCAGGGCUGCUGUGCAGUGUUAUGUUGAUUCCUCUGGUGGCUGGCACUCUGUGAGGCUGAAGGGGCUACACCAGCGGCCCCACCACUCUCAGGGCCCCCUGCUUGCUCUCUCAGCACCUACUGAAAGCCUGUGGCAAAGCUAACAGUUUGUUAGCCCUAAGAUUUAAAAAGCUGGUAACCUAAAAUCGAACUGUCUGAAGAAGUAAUAAUAAGCCACAGUGGGUUGAAGAUCUGAUGAUAAAGUUUCAGCUAUCGGGUAUGACAGGGGGCUUUGAGACGGGUACACUUCACAUCCAGGAGAUGGUCCUAGCCAGAAGUACACCACUGCUGCUUCCUUCUUCGUUGGAAUAAGGGCAAGAUGCAGCUGAUAUCUCAAUGAGCCUUGUCUUCUUGUCCAGCUCAUCUCAAAACACUCUCCUCCUUGCUCUUUAAGGUCCAGUCACGCUGGACUUUUUUCAGUUUCCUUGAAUAGGGAAGGGUCUCACUUGCCUAAGGUAUUUUGUACAUGCUGUUUCUUCUUUCUUAAUGUGCCUCCCUUUUACCUGGCUUACUCCUACUCAGCUUUCACGUCUCAGCUUAAAUACCACUUCCUCAUAGCAGCUUCCCCUGACAGCCUCCCACCGACUACAUUAGCCCCCUAAUUAUGUUCCCAAUUCACCCUACCAAUCCUAUUUCACAAUAUUCAUUACACCAGAUUUUAAGCUAGUUCACCUGGUUAACACUGUGUCCCAACUGUCUAGCACACAGUGCCUGGUACAUCAAAGGUAACCAAGAACGCCUGGGAAUAGAUGAAUCCACCCUGCCUGGUUUGAGGUCCCUGUUUUCACCUUAGCUACGUAGCUAUCAGUUCAUGAACUUACACUAACCUUGAAGGCAGCCACUAGUUGCUGUCUUUACAGUUACUCAAGCAGAAGAAGGGAGCUGGGGGAAAGCCUGUUAUACAGAAAAUAGUUUUCUUCCCUUAAUGAGACAUUGUGUUUAUAAAGUGACUUUUUUUUUUCCUUUUCAAAACAUCUUAUAAAGGUCACUACCUGCAUUUUAAUAGCAUUGGGAAAUACUCACCUAAAGUCAUUUAUAUAUUUUCCUAAUUCUUGUCUUUCCACACCCUCUAAAGUGGUUGUGAGACCUCCGAGAUGAACGGUUUCAUUUUUCCUUAAAAUACUCCUCUACCUCAGGUAAAAGCAGCCUCCAUAACAACACGCUAUAUCUUAUGGAGAAAAAAAUGUAUUUGGGAGCAGCUAGGUAAUUUGACCAGUAUGGAUGGUAUGUCUAGUGUUAUACUUUAUCUGAAUGGACUAGGAAAUCUUUACUAUUGUCAGUUUAAAUCAACAAAUAAUUGCCAAGUCCCCUCCUCCUCUGGGACUACCUCAAGAUAUAACAGAUGUUGGAAGACACGAAAGAAAGGUCAAGGUAAUCCAAGAUCACAGGAUUCCUUGAUGGCAUAACUGGAAUUAGAAAACAGGCAUGACUGUAAGGAGGAACUACGGAAUGCUAACUACAUGCCCGGCUCUAUGCUAGGCACAUUACAUCUGUGAUUUCACUGAUAUCUUUUAAGACACCUAAUGAGGUGGAAUGCCACAUCCAAAGACAUUACAAAUUCUUCUUAUGUUAGGGAAGGCAAGACACCCCCACCUCCAACAGUUAUGCAGCAUCAGCAAAAACAGAGUCCAAAACAACUGUGCAUCACACUGGGAGCCAGUGAAGGAGAGGGAACGGAGAGCAGGUGUUCGGCUGCCUGGUGAAUGGUCCAUUUAAAAAUUCAACAAUAGUCAGAGGGGAGUAGAGAGUACAACAGCCACCACCGUAAUUGGUGAAAUCAGGAUUUCUCAAUUCAGUGUAAACUCACACCCUAAAAGAAGGCACACUAUAAAGCAGAUUUCCAUAAACCCAGCGCAUCAUUUACUCUUAACGAUAUUAUUUUAAAAGCAUGCUCUUCAGGCAAAAUCGCUGAAAGACCUACUCAAGCAACAAAAACCAGUGCUGCUUCAAUGUCAAAUCUCCCUAUGAGAUAUUAAUCAUUAGCUGGAAGAAAUAGGCAAAAGCAGUUUUUUACUGCAGAACCAACUAAUUAUCUUUCAUAACUCUUUUGAAAACCAAAUGUAAAAGCUCAAGUGAAAAACAUGUUAAAUGCAUUUGUGUCUAGACUUUGCCAAGAAAAUAAGGGAGUUUAAGUGCACAAAAUCAAAAGAUCUUACUAAACUAGAAUUUCAAAUAAAGGUAAAAAAAA
ensembl:lncRNA novel transcript